rnacentral:lncRNA from 1 species
ACAGAUACACCACCGUCCAGCCUCUUGCCACGGAGGGUACACGCUACUCUCGCCACCGCUCCACGCCCAUUUCGUGUUAUCUUAUUCUGGCCUUAGUCUUCCCGAGGCAAGGCUUACCCAUGACGAGGCAUGUGACCAGUUAAAGGGUCCUCGAUCAGCACGCCUACAUACACGUUCAAUCCUUAAUCAACCUGGGUAGAACAUCACCUGUUCCUAACCCAAGUCUCAAUUUAAGUAUUCCCAUCCUUAGGAUUGUUUCUGUUCCUUAGGAUGAGAAGAGCAUCAUAGGGAACUUUACAGUAAGAUCCCACCAUUGCUCCAAAUGAAAAUAUUCUUGCAGGUAGAAGUCAUCCUUUCUCGAGCUAGGCUAAGGACAACCUCUAUCCACAAGAUCUGAGCAAGGCUAAGCAUUUUUGUAAAUCAUAUUUUGAUACUUCACUGAAGUAUCUAUAAAGGUAUGGAUAUCAAGGAAAGCAAUGCAUCAAAGGGUUCCAAGCAACUCCUAUGAACCUAAUGCACAUUUCAUUAGACUUAAAGUGUGCGAAAAUUAUUUAAAAACACAAGGAAAGGGUUGCAUGCACCGGGGCUUGCCUUCGUUAGUAGGUGAGUCAGGCUCGGACCCGCAGAUGUCGAAGUAGAGCCAAGUCCCUGCCUGAGAUUCCAAAGGUGGUGGUGUCUUCUCUUCAGUCACUUCACUCUCUUCUUCGUUUUCUAAAUAUAACCAUAUAGGUAUAUAUAUAAGAAUGAAUGCCAUGUAAUGCUUAUGAGAGUGCAUAGAUAAUAAAGGUUUAUUAACUAAGUUUUGAAUACAACUUUCCUUCACGGAACUCCGAGAACUUAGGGUUUCCGGAGUCAGUAAAGGAGUUCAAAGGGCAGGGGUAGGGUUUGGGUUAUAAGUAUCAAACAAUGUCCAAAUCAUAUCAAACUCUACCCAAGGUCUCAUAAUAUUGUUGAGAGAUUACCCUAAAAAUUUAGUGAAUUUUGGAUUUAUUAUAUAAUCUCUAAAAAUUCAGAAACAUGGUUUUUGGAUGAUUUAAAUACUCUAUAAUUUCCUAUUUGGACUAAAAAUCAUGAAACUAUUUUUAUUAAAUUCUAUAGGAAAUUAGAAGCCCAUUAAAAUUGGUUUGGUAUUUUUAUCAUUUUUCUUGAAUUCUUUAUGGAUUUCUCAACUUUCUUAGAAAAAGAAAAAGAAAAACGUUCAAUAGUAUUGGGCCAAAUUGUGCCCAACCGGCCCAGUUUAAGCAGAUUACAGGGGCGCGCCCGCGGCAGCGCAGCCUGUUUUGCAUAAAAGUCCUUGCCAGAGUUAAUAUUAGGAACGAAGUCCUCAACUGAACUCUGCGAGUCACUGACAUUUUACUUCUGGCCCCUUCUAGGUUUCUCGUCUUUACAACGUGAGUCCCUAACGUCGCCGGCGGCGCGGACGCAUUCCCACCGCGACACAACGGCGGAGGAGAGCCCGGGCAGCCGUUGGAUAGCGACCAGACCAAAUCCUAACCUACCCCGAGCAUCUAUAGGCAUGGAUUUGACUCACUAACUUACAGAGUGCCAUGACCACGUUCAAGGCGGGAGCCCAGUACCGCGACGUUCACCCAAAUGGCUCCGGCACAGGAUGUUUCAAAUUGAGGGCACAUGGAGCACGAGUAGGGUGCGGGAAACACGACGCUCACAAGAAUUGCCCCUGGGCCAACUGAACUUUGAGUGGGUCAUCACCUGGACAGUUCACGCGGUGUCAAGCCCGUGUUCCGACCAAACCAAGACCGUAAGGACCAAACGGACUUCUCGGUGAGCUUCACCAAGGUACGGGGAUGCUAGAACAUCAGCUUGUGGGGGUUAAGACAUACCACAGUCGUCUGGCCACGUGAAGCCGAGGUGUUGCCGGGGUGGUCAUCAAAUAAGUUUGGUGCCUUGAUCGAUGGAACUUGGGUGUGUCUAGGGUAUGAUUUGGGGGUGUAGUACUACUAAUCAUGGCUGCUCAACAUGGUUGAUGGUGAACUAAGGAUCACUGGUUGGGUUUCUACCUUUCCCUCCCCAGUUGCUCUUUAUAUAGGCAGGGAAAAGAUCACAGGGGUUGGAUGCUUGAACUUGCAGCAAGGACAGCUAUGAACUCUAAAUGCAGUCGUGGCUUCCUCCAGUAAAUCCACGCCAACACAUAGAGCCUAGCUACGCAGGGUGGAGAUUAUCCAUGGGCAAAAGAAAAGAGGGGGUAAGGAUGAGGUGCACUGUACAGGAUAUUUGCACAGGUGAUAUUUCAGGGAUGCACCAAUCUGAAUACCCUUGCCAGCACACCAUCCCAAUCUUCAUCCUAUUCCAAAGUUGGUCACGGCAAGAAAAACUGAACUUGGUCACUUCUAGCAGCCAAAUAUCUGAUUUGUCCCUUUCUGUAGAUAGUAAACCAACAGAUAAGAAUUCUAGUGUGUGCAGACUUAAAUGGAUCCAAACUGAUAUUUCUAAAGGGAUGAAGCCACUAGAACUGCUGCUGUCCAGCAUACCCCAUUAAAGAUUCAUUAGAUGAGGACCCCCUCUCAUUCACUGCUCACAAAAUAGGUCAAAAUUUGGAUAUUUUUUAGUAGAUCUGAGGCCACUAGAUCCCUGGCUCUGGACUUCGACCUUAUACCUACCCAAACAUCCAAAGAAACCAGCAGGGAGAGGAGAUAAUCUUCUUCAGAAACUGUCUUCAGUCCUAAACGAAUUACUGUUGCUUAGCUGGACUGACAGGGGCCUUUCAAGGUCAUUCCCUUACAUUUUCCCUGUAGCAACACCUUAAUUUAAUCAUAGGAAACUUGCUCAUUGACUAUAGCUCUUCAACCCACUACAGCAUUCCACUGCUAGAAACACAUGGAUCACAAACUAUAAGGUUCCAAAGCCAAGCACACACUCUGAAACUCUUCUUCAGAGAGCUGAACUCAAAUGCAACCCUUUAAGUCUGACAAGGCAUAUUAGAGAGCAUUUUACUCACAAUUCCAUAUGACAACAGACCCAUCUCCCUUAACAAGCCUUAUUCUCCAACCAUAGGUCUUCCACUUUGGUACAACACUCCAAAGCUGAAACUACUCAGAAUUGAAGUUGUGGUGUUCCAAAUUAUAGCAGAAACAGUCAAACACUCGGUCUCAGCUUAACUGAACAGCCCUCACUAUUUCUGACAGAGGACGUUACAGCUCCAUUAUCUCUCAAUCUUUACAUAACAACAGGACCAUCUCCUUGCAUGAAACUUGUCCAUCUAUAUCUGGUAUCCAACUUUUCUAUAGAAACUAUAGUCUAAAACUACUCAUAUUGAUCACAAAACAGCUCCAAAUUAAGCAUCCUAUACUGAAAUUCAGGUUUCAGAGACUGAACCCAAAGCAGUUGGAACCAGCCUGACAGUCCAAUUUUGAGCCACUUUUACUCCUUUUUCUGUGUAGCACCAAACCAAACUCACUUAAAGAAAUUUGUUCUCCUAUAUAUGGUCUUCCAUUUUGAUAUACAACUCUUGGUCUAAAACCAUAUAUAUUAAUCACAACUGAGCUCCAAACAGAGCAUCAUUGGCUGUUUUUCAGAGUUUCAGCUCUGAACCACUAAGUCACCAAUAUACUGACAGUCCAUUUUUAGGCAAGCUUUACUCCAAAUUUUGCAUGGGGUCAUGUCAAACUCACUUAAUAAAACUUGUUCACCAUCAUAUGGACUUCAACUUCUCUAUAAACACCAUAGUCCAAAGUUCUAUGGUUUAGCCACAAAUGAGCUCCAAACAGCAUACUCAACACUGAAACUCCACUCACUUCACUAUUCACUAUCUGAAAUUCCAUGAGUCUGUCAACACUUCUUUGGACCACCUUUUCUGCUGGUAGCAUAUACUUUUAAGGCAAAGUUGCUUAACAAAUUUUGUACUUCAAUAGUUCCUCUACAAUUUCUAUAUAGUGACCCUUAGCUAAACCCUUUUGGAUUCCACUCUACCACAACCCAAAGUUUGCACAAAAUACUGAAAUUCAGACUGUAUUUUAUUAAGUUUGAACCCCACACUUUCCAGCAGCUCUACUUUAGACCAGUUCUUCUCCAAAUUCCAUAUAGAUUUAAGGCUAGGUUACUCAAUCAAAGUCACACUCCUCACAUAGCUUUAUAAUUUUUUUACAAUGACUACCUUCAAAAUGUUUAUAGAUCAGAAGUUAUAAAGGACCAAAACUUCCUAGUUGCUACUAUUUUCAGCAAUUCCAAUCUGAGCUCAAAACUGAACUUUGAUGAUUUACUCCAAUUUUCUUCACACAACAUGGGAAUCUCCAAAUAAGAAAUUCAUUCACUUUUUCAAGCUCCACAACUUUGAUAUAUGGACUUUUGUCAAAUUACUUCUAGAUUUUGAAUUCCUCUUUUGGGCUAGUUUUAGUGUUUCACAUGUUCUUCAUUUUCUUCAAGUGUUUCUUCCACUUGCUCUACCUUUGAAAACAAGGUUGCCAUAAACUCUAGGACUUGCCUUUAGCACUUGAAGUUUCCAAGUCAAUUUGUUAUUUGCUCAAGAGUUGACCUACUCUUGUCUAGCUUAAGCCAAGUCCUUAAACUAAACUCUAACAACACACAACAUCACACUGUUUGAAAAAAAAUUAACCUAGUGAAUGCAUUCUAAGUGUAACAAGCACAUUAAUGCAGAUGCUUAUGAUGACAUGUCGGAGUUUUAGUUUACGUAACACCAGAGGUGUUACAACCUUCCCCCCUAAAAAGAAAUCUCGUCCCGAGAUUUAAAAGUCUAGGCUUAGUAAUGGAAAAGGAAACGUGUCACGGACUUAUUUCCUAAUUUCUCUUACAAGGUAGGGGAGGUGUUUUGUUUUACUUAACCACGAUGUUGUUCAACACCUCUAAGGCAGUUACCUAAGCUCCUUCCCAAGGAGUCAUUCCUUUAGAAUGGAACAUCCAAUGUGGCCAAGAUGGUUUUCUAGCACGUUCUGGAAUACGCACUACUACUCAUACCAUGGUUGUCCUCUAAGAAUAGUGUGCGACAACAUUUCUCUAAGGGGGAAAUCUUUUAUUAGCAUAGUUCUUAGCAUGAUGCAUGUAUAAUUACAGAAUCAACCUUAGUUGAUUCAACCUUCUAUGCAUUACACUCUUCCUAUCUGGUCUUUAAAAUAAACUCUUCAGAAACACUUAGGUAAGAAGGGAAGAAAUUUUUUAGAUAAGUCUUUAGAAAAUUCUUUUUGAAGAUGCCUCAUAAUAUCUGCAGAGAUGGGCUUCGCUCCGAUACCAGCUGUGACGGAACCUCCCAAGUAAUUAGGCCCACCUACAGUUGUCCUUGUCCAACAGACAUCAGACAACCCUGUAGAUGUUCCUGAAUCACUUGACAAGUUCGGUAUCUUCUUUUCUCACCUUUCCCAAGAGCGUUUCACCCGUCUUGCAGACAUUACAGAACAUCGGAGAUAUAGAAAUGCGGAAGCAAUUAUAUAAACUUACAUUUAUUUAGAAAGUAAGAUCAAGUUAUUUAUUACAGACCAGAGUUAUAAAACGAGUGCAGGGUAGUAUUAUUACACAUACCAGGGGAGGCAAAAACUCCUCCCGAUAACUAUCAAACAAAGGUUCUUAUGGAGGACCACGUCCUCCCGCAUCUUCACUCUUGUUUUUCUUCAUUUGACACCACCUUGGAGCAAAAGCAACAAAAAUUUGUCGCUUCCUCACCUAAAAACAACGGAGGGAUAAACCCUGAGUAUGGAAUUACUCACCAAGUCUUACCCGACUAAGAAAAAGACUCUCAAGGGUAUGCUGGAUAAUUAGGAAUCAAGGAGAGGCUUUAGCAAAAAUCAACUUAGAUACUUUUGCAGAAAUAGCUUACUAAAGUGAGUCCUUACUUUCAAUAUUUUAACACCAUAUUAAGUAUUAAUAGACUCUAUUUGCAUCUAGUCUAAUUUCACCAUCUCAUCAAUACAACAUCAUUUUUAUUCAUAAUGUUCACAUCCUGACUUAGGUUGUAGGGAAGUGACCAAGUCUUCAUAACCGCGAAGGUACGGCGAUCUGAAUCGAUUAUACUCAGCUGAGGAUCUCCAAUCACACGACAUAUGUAGCACUUAACCCUUGCAUAUGUCAACCCGCCACCGGGGUUCUUAAGACCAGAUCAGGUUCACGCAAACCGAGAGCACAGAUACACCACCGUCCAGCCUCUUGCCACGGAGGGUACACGCUACUCUCGCCACCGCUCCACGCCCAUUUCGUGUUAUCUUAUUUUGGCCUUAGUCUUCCCGAGGCAAGGCUUACCCAUGACGAGGCAUGUGACCAGUUAAAGGGUCCUCGAUCAGCACGCCUACAUACACGUUCAAUCCUUAAUCAACCUGGGUAGAACAUCACCUGUUCCUAACCCAAGUCUCAAUUUAAGUAUUCCCAUCCUUAGGAUUGUUUCUGUUCCUUAGGAUGAGAAGAGCAUCAUAGGGAACUUUACAGUAAGAUCCCACCAUUGCUCCAAAUGAAAAUAUUCUUGCAGGUAGAAGUCAUCCUUUCUCGAGCUAGGCUAAGGACAACCUCUAUCCACAAGAUCUGAGCAAGGCUAAGCAUUUUUGUAAAUCAUAUUUUGAUACUUCACUGAAGUAUCUAUAAAGGUAUGGAUAUCAAGGAAAGCAAUGCAUCAAAGGGUUCCAAGCAACUCCUAUGAACCUAAUGCACAUUUCAUUAGACUUAAAGUGUGCGAAAAUUAUUUAAAAACACAAGGAAAGGGUUGCAUGCACCGGGGCUUGCCUUCGUUAGUAGGUGAGUCAGGCUCGGACCCGCAGAUGUCGAAGUAGAGCCAAGUCCCUGCCUGAGAUUCCAAAGGUGGUGGCGUCUUCUCUUCAGUCACUUCACUCUCUUCUUCGUUUUCUAAAUAUAACCAUAUAGGUAUAUAUAUAAGAAUGAAUGCCAUGUAAUGCUUAUGAGAGUGCAUAGAUAAUAAAGGUUUAUUAACUAAGUUUUGAAUACAACUUUCCUUCACGGAACUCCGAGAACUUAGGGUUUCCGGAGUCAGUAAAGGAGUUCAAAGGGCAGGGGUAGGGUUUGGGUUAUAAGUAUCAAACAAUGUCCAAAUCAUAUCAAACUCUACCCAAGGUCUCAAAAUAUUGUUGAGAGAUUACCCUAAAAAUUUAGUGAAUUUUGGAUUUAUUAUAUAAUCUCUAAAAAUUCAGAAACAUGGUUUUUGGAUGAUUUAAAUACUCUAUAAUUUCCUAUUUGGACUAAAAAUCAUGAAACUAUUUUUAUUAAAUUCUAUAGGAAAUUAGAAGCCCAAUAAAAUUGGUUUGGUAUUUUUAUCAUUUUUCUUGAAUUCUUUAUGGAUUUCUCAACUUUCUUAGAAAAAGAAAAAGAAAAACGUUCAAUAGUAUUGUGCCAAAUUGUGCCCAACCGGCCCAGUUUAAGCAGAUUACAGGGGCGCGCCCGCGGCAGCGCAGCCUGUUUUGCAUAAAAGUCCUUGCCAGAGUUAAUAUUAGGAACGAAGUCCUCAACUAAACUCUGCGAGUCACUGACAUUUUACUUCUGGCCCCUUCUAGGUUUCUCGUCUUUACAACGUGAGUCCCUGACGUCGUCGGCGGCGCGGACGCAUUCCCACCGCGACACAACGGCGGAGGAGAGCCUGGGCAGCCGUUGGAUAGCGACCAGACCAAAUCCUAACCUACCCCGAGCAUCUAUAGGCAUGGAUUUGACUCACUAACUUACAGAGUGCCAUGACCACGUUCAAGGCGGGAGCCCAGUACCGCGACGUUCACCCAAAUGGCUCCGGCACAGGAUGUUUCAAAUUGAGGGCACAGGGAGCACGAGUAGGAUGCGGGAAACACGACGCUCACAAGAAUUGCCCCUGGGCCAACUGAACUUUGAGUGGGUCAUCACCAGGACAGUUCACGCGGUGUCAAGCCCGUGUUCCGACCAAACCAAGACCGUAAGGACCAAACGGACUUCUCGGUGAGCUUCACCAAGGUACGGGGAUGCUAGAACAUCAGCUUGUGGGGGUUAAGACAUACCACAGUCGUCUGGCCACGUGAAGCCGAGGUGUUGCCGGGGUGGUCAUCAAAUAAGUUUGGUGCCUUGAUCGAUGGAACUUAGGUGUGUCUAGGGUAUGAUUUGGGGGUGUAGUACUACUAAUCAUGGCUGCUCAACAUGG